rnacentral:rRNA from 1 species
GACGAACGCUGGCGGCGUGCUUAACACAUGCAAGUCGAACGGAAAGGCCCCCAUCUUGGUGGGGGUGCUCGAGUGGCGAACGGGUGAGUAACACGUGGGUGAUCUGCCCUGUACUUCGGGAUAAGCUUGGGAAACUGGGUCUAAUACCGGAUAGGACCAUGGUUUAGUGUCUCAUGGUGGAAAGAUUAUUGUUUUGGUGCAGGAUGAGCUCGCGGCCUAUCAGCUUGUUGGUGGGGUAAUGGCCUACCAAGGCGUCGACGGGUAGCCGGCCUGAGAGGGUGGACGGCCACAUUGGGACUGAGAUACGGCCCAGACUCCUACGGGAGGCAGCAGUGGGGAAUAUUGCACAAUGGGCGCAAGCCUGAUGCAGCGACGCCGCGUGGGGGAUGACGGCCUUCGGGUUGUAAACUCCUUUCGUUAGGGACGAAGCCGCACUUUUUUUGGGUGUGGUGACGGUACCUUUGUGAAGAAGCACCGGCUAACUACGUG